rnacentral:rRNA from 1 species
UACGAACCGAGCGAACGUUGUUCGGAAUCACUGGGCUUAAAGGGCGCGUAGGCGGGUGCUCAAGUCCGUGGUGAAAUCCUCCGGCUCAACCGGAGAACUGCCUCGGAUACUGGGCGUCUCGAGUGUGGUAGGGGUAUGCGGAACUAUCGGUGGAGCGGUGAAAUGCGUUGAUAUCGAUAGGAACACCGGUGGCGAAGGCGGCAUACUGGACCACCACUGACGCUGAUGCGCGAAAGCCAGGGGAGCAAACGGG